UGAACAAGGUUUCCCAGAUGC
rnacentral:sRNA from 1 species